CACGUAGGGCGCGAGCGUUGUCCGGAAUUAUUGGGCGUAAAGAGCUCGUAGGCGGCCUGUUGCGUCCGCUGUGAAAGCCCGGGGCUUAACCCCGGGUCGGCAGUGGAUACGGGCAGGCUAGAGGUAGGUAGGGGAGAAUGGAAUUCCCGGUGUAGCGGUGAAAUGCGCAGAUAUCAGGAAGAACACCCGUGGCUAAGGCGGCUCUCUAGUACGGUACUGACGCUGAGACGCGAAAGCGUGGGGAGCGAACAGG
rnacentral:rRNA from 1 species